GAUGAACGCUAGCGGCAGGCUUAACACAUGCAAGUCGAGGGGCAACACGGGUAGCAAUACCUGGUGGCGACCGGCGCAAGGGUGCGUAACGCGUGAGCAACAUGCCCUAUACAGGGGGAUAAUCCAGGGAAACUUGGUCUAAUAUCCCAUAGUAUUUAGAGGUGGCAUCACCACUAAAUUAAAGCUUCGGUGGUAUAGGAUUGGCUCGCGUGACAUUAGCUGGAUGGUGGGGUAACGGCUCACCAUGGCGAUGAUGUCUAGGGGUUCUGAGAGGAAGACCCCCCCACACUGGGACUGAGACACGGCCCAGACUCCUACGGGAGGCAGCAGUGAGGAAUAUUGGACAAUGGAUGGAAAUCUGAUCCAGCCAUGCCGCGUGCAGGAAGACGGCCCUAUGGGUCGUAAACUGCUUUUCCACGGGAAGAACCCUCCGACGUGUCGGAGACUGACGGUACCGUGGGAAUAAGCAUCGGCUAACUCCGUGCCAGCAGCC
rnacentral:rRNA from 1 species